rnacentral:rRNA from 1 species
CGUCUAGGCGGGGAGUUAAGUUAGUUGUGAAAUCCAUGGGCUCAAUUCAUGAACUGCAUCUAAAACUGAUUCUCUUGAGUUCGGGAGAGGAAAGCGGAAUUCCCGGUGUAACGGUGAAAUGUGUAGAUAUCGGGAGGAACACCAGUGGCGAAGGCGGCUUUCUGGCCUAGAACUGACGCUGAAGCGCGAAAGCGCGGGUAGCGAACG